rnacentral:lncRNA from 1 species
GGGUCGAAUCGGAGCUGUAGCUGCCAGCCUACACCACAGCCACAACCACAGCCAUGGGAGAUCUGAGGCAGACCUGCGACCUACACCACAGCUCACAGCAAUACCGGAUCCUUAACCCACAGGGCAAGGCCGGGGACCGAACCAGCAUCCUCAUGGAUGCUAGUUGGGUGCAUUAACCGCUGGGCCACGAGGGGAACUCCCUAGUUUCAUGGUUUUAAUUUAUUAGAAAAACAUGAGUCCAUACCAAACUAAUAACACUAUUAUCGCUGCUGCUGCCGUGGCUUACUGCUACCUCUACUUCUAUGCAACGAUGACGACGACGACCAGUUACAAUACGAGCUACCUACCACGUUCCAAGCUUCUGCUCCGUGUCAAGCACCAUGCUAAACCCUUGAUAAAUAUUAUCUCCAUGAACCCUCACAGUCACCCUGUAAGGGGGAUUCUGCUGUUAUUUCCACUUGACGGCUGGGAAUACAGGCCCAGAGAAUGUAACGGACUUGCCUGAAAUCAUGCAGUUAAGGAAAACAAGGAUUCGAACCCAGGGCUGCUGGACCGGACACUCCAUGCCAUUCGCAGCCACCCUAAGCGAGAGCGAAAAAUCUUCCAGGAGCUCAGAAAUGAGCCCCCACUCCCAAAGUAGAAAGAACUUUCCAGCUCACAUACUGAAAGUUAAAAACUCCAAAUGAAGAGGGACUCACGUCCUGUCCCAGUGGCUGUCUGACCCUCCCUCAAAUGUCAACUUUACCGUCUUUACGGGGACCCCUUUCAAUAUUCACCGUGUUUACUAUGACUACAAGAGCCCCCAUCCCCGUUGAUGCUCAAACAGCUCCUGAACUUGGAGGCAGGGUGGGAGUGCUAAGAUCCUGCAUUAUGUCCUGCUCUUCUUCUCCUCCUCCCCCCCCCCGCCGUUUGUUAGGGCUGCACCCACAGCAUAUGGAAAUUUCCAGGCUAGGGGUCAAAUUGGAGCUAUAGACACCAGCCUACACCACAGCCACAGAAACAUCAGAUCCGAGCCACAUCUGUGACCUACACCACAGCUCAUGGCAACACUAGAUCCUUAACCCACUGAAUGAGGCCAGGGAUCGAACCUGAUCCUCAUGGAUGCUAGUCAGAUCUGUUUCCGCUGAGCUGUGAUGGGAACUCCUGUCCUGCUUUUUAAAAAGAAGCCAUAAGUGGAGUUCCUACUGUGGCUCAACAGUAUCAAACCCAACUAAUAUCCAGGAGAAUUUAGGUUUGAUCCCCAGCCUUGCUCAGUGGGUUAGGAUGCACUGCUGCUGUGAGCUGUGGUGUAGGUCGCAGACAUGGCUCAGAUCCUGUCUUGCUGUGGCUGUGGCACAGGCUGGCGGCUGUAGCUCCAGUUCAACGCCUAGCCUGGGAACCUCCAUAUGCCGAGAGUGAGGUCCUUAAAAUAAAAAAAUAAAAAGUAAUUUUUAAAAAAGAAGCCAUAAAAAUGAAGCAUUAAGAAGAGAGGUGCUAAUAGUCACCUUGUUUCUGACUGGAAGAGGUUCCCUCUCAUUUCCUCCUGCAGAGGCAGAUGUUGUUAGGAAACGGUCGGUCAACCCCAUUUCAAAGAAUUCUAAGUUUGCAGCCAUAUCUCCACAACAGCUGACACACAGGCUUGCCUGUGGUGAUGGAGCUUCACGGACUGUGUCACCACGAAUUCUCUAGCACAAAUGGUUAUGUGCAGCACAUUCUCUGAGCAUUCUGCCCACAUGACAUGGGAAGCCCAGUUGUCUACAGCUUGUCUUACAGGAGUCUGGAGCCCCUCAGUGUACCCGAGGCACAGAGCCCCAUCAGCAGAAAUGACCCUGCAACCUGCCUUCCUUCUCCCUAUCAAAACAGGCACCCACACUUUGUGCAAUGCACAAAAAUAUCCAGAAGUCGCAGGAGUAUGAAAAGGGAGAUUAGUCAUUCCCAGAAUUUUGGACUUCAUGAGCCAUUCAAAUUUCAGAGGCAUUCAGGAAACUGAGAGAGCUAAGAAAACAAGGACAUUUAAAAGCAACAACCUGGAGAGGCUGUGGAGAAAAAGGAACCCUAUUACACUGUUGAUGGGAAUGUAAAUUGGUGCAACCACUGUGGAAAACAGUCUGGAGAUUCCUCAGAACACUAAAAACAGAACUACCAUUUGAUCCAGCAAUCCCACUCCUGGGCAUCUAUCCAGAGAAAACCAUGACUGGAAAAGACACAUGUACUCAGAUGUUCAUUGCAGCACUAUUUACAAUAGCCAAGACAUGGAAACAACCUAAAUGUCCAUCAACAGAAGAGUGGAUCAAGAAGAUGUGGUACAUAUACACAAUGGAAUAUUACUCAGCCAUUAAAAGGAAUGAAAUACCGGCAUUUUUAGCAACAUGGAUGGACCUAGAAAUUAUCAUGCUAAGUGAAGUCAGUCAGACAAUGAGACACCAACAUCAAAUGCUUUCACUGACAUGUGGAAUCUGAAAAAAGGACAGAAUGAACUUCUUUGCAUAACAUGUACUGAUUCACAGACUUUGAAAAACUUAUGGUUUCCAAAGGAGACAGGCUGGGGGGUGGGGGGAUGUGCUGGGUAUUUGGGAUGGAAAUGCUAUAAAAUUGGGUUGUGAUGAUCACUAUACAACUAUAAAUGUAACAAAUUCAUUUGUUAAUAUAAAAAAAUUUAAAAAAUAAAAGCAACAACCAAACACCACACACACACAGACAUGCACAGCCCCUCUAUCUUCUAUCACUAUCAUUUCAAAAAGAGAAAAAAAAUUCGGUGCUUCCCUUGCAUUUCUGGUGUUGCCAUGAGCUGUGCUGUAGCUUGCAGACUCGGCUCAGAUCCUGCAUUGCUGUGGUGUAGGUGGGCAGCUGCAGCUCCAAUUCAAUCCCUAGCCUGGGAACCUCCAUAUGUCACAGACGAGGCCCUAAAAAGCAAAAAGCAAGGGAGGAAGGAAGGCCGGCCAGCCAGCCAGAGGCUCAGAGUAAAAGACAAUUCCUUCCUAAAGAAAAAAGAGAGUUAAAUUUUCAGUUAAUGACACAUAUACACACAGGGCUGGAGAAACAGGCAGAUACACAAAUAUCCUCAUUCUUCCUCCCUCCCUCCAAAGAGGAAAACCUUACUCUGGCUGCUCCAAGACCACCCCUGGGCACGGAAGCAGCAUUAAACCUCCUACCUUGGCCCGUCUCAGCCUGGGAGCCCAUCUCAGUGCAGGCCUACUGGGGCCAGCCUACUGGUCUCUGCUGGGCCCCCCCCUCCCCAGACCAUCACUCCCCAGUCCCUAUCACAUUCUCCUUCCUAACUGGGCAGAAGAGCCCUGGGUGCCAGAGAUCUUCUCUGCACGCCCUGCAAAUCCCAGAUGGCAUUUUUGCCAACUCCGUCCCUCAAGAAUAAACUCAACUUCCACCUGAAAUGUGCUUCAAGGGGCUAAGCCUGUGCACACGCUGUGAGAAAUGGCCAGGUUCUAUUCUACUCAGUGAGGCGGGGUUCAGGAGCACAUCACCCACGUACAAGAAAGUGAGGACCCGUGAGAAAGCACUAUUCCUAUAACAGCAUUAAAACUGGAACGAUUCCCAGAGAAGAAACACACAUUUGUGACUAUAAGACAGUACUCUGCAAAUGAAAAAGAAAAAUAUUCCCCGCCCUUUAAACCAGUUACAGAGGAAAAGUUUGAGCCCCUACCUACAAACGAUUCGCCCACCUGGUGAAGUGCUAGCCACUAGCUCCUACGAAAACCAAGCCCACCUUCAAGAUGAUGGCUCUCAGGAUUCAACCUCCUCCCAAAAAAUCACACAUCUCAUAGAGGCACAUGGAUUAGUAAGAGCCAGAUCCUUCUAGGAAAUAAACGGUCAUGCAUCUGAUGUGCUUAAAAAAGAAGAUAGUGGUAAUUUGCACUGUUACACAAUUUAAUGAACAGGUAAGUGGAGUCAGGCAGUCCCAAGAAAAUCAGAAAAAACAAGACACAUAAGGCUUAAAUACGCUUAUUAGUGGAAAGCCCAUUUCCUUCUCUUUUUCUUUCUUUUUCUUUUUGGUCUUUUUAGGGCUAUACCUGUGGCAUAUGGAGGUUCCCAGGCUAGGGGUCCAACUGGAGCUGCAGCUGCCAGCCCACACCACAGCCACAGUAGUGCCAGAUCCGAGCCACGUCUGUGACCUACACUGCACCUGUCAACACCAGAUCCUUAACCCCCUGAGCAAGGCCAGGGAUGGAACCUUAAUCCUCAUGGAUCCUAGUCGGGUUCUUAACCUGCUAAGCCACGAUGGGAACUCCCAGAAGCCCAUUUCUUAAUCUGUGCAAGAUGUUGAAUUUUUUUAAACUUAAAAAGCAGCACUCUUGGGUCCUCCGCUUCUCUGUCAGCAUUUAUAGGAGGUCUCCAGAGCUUCUCACCAGGAUACUCAAGGGCACAGAUGCUCUUCCUCUGUGAGACACAAGCAUCUGGCACAGAGUAGGUACUUAAUGCAUGUUUGUAGAAAAGGAAGAAAAAAAAGGUAACAGGAGGAUGAAGCUGCUGUGAAGGCAGGUUUUUUGCAUCUCCUGUUUAUCACGCUGCAGGUUU